rnacentral:lncRNA from 1 species
AUGUGUAUAUACACACCGAUAGAAAAUGAGUGGUCUGUAAGUUCAAGUUGGGCCUUGGGAUCAUGGCCCAUAGGAGGCCUCAGAUGGCAGGCAUGGUGGAAGGGAUGGAGGCACGUGCCUCUCUGGACCAAGGCACAGACGAAAGGCAGCCUCUGGGAGCAGGGGUUCAGUUCAGCUGGUUGCCACACCAGAGAGAAGAGUGGGAUUAGAAUUCAGGCCACAAACAGAGCUGCAGUGUGGUCUUCGAAGACUUGUUGUUGUAGUUCUGCAGCAGUUGCUGCUAUGCAUAUGCUUAGGGAUAUGCCACCUCCUUCAGAAAGUGGCCUUAAUCCUCCAAAUGGGAGUGAAUCUCCCCACAUCAGUGCUCAGGCUGUGGGUCUGAGGCCUUUAUUAUCUUACCCACUAAUACAUCCUGCCAUUAUGUCCCAG